ACUCGUAUAAUUUACAUUUAGAAUAUUGCAUUGAAGCUGCAAAAGAGGUUUAGUUUACCUGCGGGUG
rnacentral:tRNA from 1 species